rnacentral:rRNA from 1 species
UACGUAGGGGGCUAGCGUUGUCCGGAAUCAUUGGGCGUAAAGCGCGCGUAGGCGGCCAGAUAAGUCCGGUGUGAAAGUCAAAGGCUCAACCUUUGAAUGCCGCUGGAAACUGUCUGGCUUGAGUCCGGAAGGGGCGAGUGGAAUUCCUGGUGUAGCGGUGAAAUGCGCAGAUAUCAGGAGGAACACCAAUGGCGAAGGCAGCUCGCUGGAACGGUACUGACGCUGAGGCGCGAAAGCCAGGGGAGCAAACGGG